rnacentral:tRNA from 1 species
CAAAUUAAAGCUUUGGUAGUUAAGCAUUUCAUUUACACUGAAAAGAUUGUCGUGCAAAUCGAUUUAAUUUGA